UCAUAACCUCCAACAAACUAAUGAGGUUGUUCCUAAAAAAUUAUGGAAUUGAUUCAUCUCUCUGAAGCCAUUCGCCAAGUUGUCGCUCUCCUUGUCGAUGAAGACGUUGAAGAAUCCAGACCCACUUCCACUUUCCUCAAUGUCAUUGAUCUCGGUAAUGUUGUAAGUUCCUUUUAUUUGAUCCAUGUUCAUGUUAUUGAAAUAUGCAAUUGUUUUGAAUCCAAGAAAUGAAUGACUGACUGUGAUUGUGAUGGUGAGAAUCAGGGUGCUGGAAAAUAUGUUGCAUUGAAUAACCUCAUUGGUCAGACAUGGAACAAUAAUGGACCUUGCGGUUAUUAAUGAGUAAUUUGAUUUUAUUUUUUGCAAUUUAGAUCUGUUAGUAGACUGCAU